GAAGAAAUCCAUCUCCUGCUUUCACUUGCUCUCCACACCCCCUUAAGUGGGUGCUCCAGAAGAUGCAGAAGCAAGCCAGCCAAGGACACUUUGUUCUGAUGCUUCCUACCAACUGCACCUUCAUGCAAUACUCAUUAGUCACCCUGCCUUUGAACUCCUGUUUGGACGCAAGUAUGAGCACACUGAACCCGUCUCAUAUGCCUGAUGACCAUACCGGUGAUGCCUUCUGAGCGGUUGUCUCCUCCAGUGUGGUCAGAGGGAUGGUCCUGAGAAGUUUCUAUGGAAUCUGUCUGCUUUGGUCAAGAAAGGCUCCAAACACUGGCUCAACUGGUUUUUAUCUGUAGCAAGUAAUACUCUGAAAAUAGAAUGAGUACCAAUAAAAUGACACUGGAACAUUCAGACAGGCAACAAACUGCUUU